rnacentral:rRNA from 1 species
UUAAGUUGAUUUCUUCGGAUUGAUUCUUAACUGACUGAGCGGCGGACGGGUGAGUAACGCGUGGGUGACCUGCCCCAUACCGGGGGAUAACAGUUGGAAACGGCUGCUAAUACCGCAUAAGCGCACGAGAGGACAUCCUCUUGUGUGAAAAACUCCGGUGGUACAGGAUGGGCCCGCGUCUGAUUAGCUGGUUGGCAGGGUAACGGCCUACCAAGGCGACGAUCCAUAGCCGGCCUGAGAGGGUGAACGGCCACAUUGGGACUGAGACACGGCCCAGACUCC